rnacentral:lncRNA from 13 species
AGAGGACAUCUCCUCUUCCUCUUGCUACCUCCUUUGCACUAUUUCCCUGCUUACUGAGAAACUCCAGACCAUCAGACAAAAGCUGUCAGCUUCCCUGCUCUCCUGCCUUCCCUCAUCACUCAUCUUCACUUGCCCUUGUGCCCCAGGAAGGAGUGGCUGUCUUCUUGUCCCAAGGUAAAGCUUCCUCUCUUGCUGGGAAUCACACACCUGCUGAUCUGUUAAAUCUGAAUGACCAGGCAAGUCUUCUUCUCCAACCCUUCUGGAUCCUUCUCCUCCAUCUAGAAACAUGUUCAGGCCUUUCUUACACUGAAACAUAGCCUCUCUUCACCCUGCUGUUCCUCUCCCUGGGGCUCCAUCUGGGCUCAGUCAUCCAAUUUUAGUUAACAUAGGCUAGGCUACACUGCUGUGACAAACAGCCCCAAAGCGAACACAACAAAGGUUAGGUUGAGUUUUCCUUUAUUUUCCUAGAUAACCCCAUUAGAAAUCUGACUAUUCCACUGUUUUCUUUUUUUCAAGUGAUUUGGAUUGGUUUAUUGAUUCUAGUAUUUUCUACCUCAUUGAUUUCUUCAUUUUGUUCUUGCUGAUUCCUUCCUUAAGUCUGUUUUGUUGGCGAGGUAGAGGAAGAUUCACCUUUUUAGAUAAAGGUAGGGUUAAUUUUCAUUGUUUUUAUGCCACAAUAUAAACAAUUAAUGCUAUACCAUUUCCCUUAAGUACAGUUUUGGUUGUAUCCUGUGGCUUUGGAUAUACAGGUUGUUGUUACGGUAGUUUUACUUUACAAAUGAUUUGUUUUCGGCCAGGCGCUGUGGCUCACGCCUGUAAUCCAAGCACUUUGGAGGCCAAGGCGGGCAGAUCACCUGAGUACAGGAGUUCAAGACCAGCCUGACCAACAUGGUGAAACCCCAUCUUUAAAAAAAAGAAGAAGAAGAAGAAGAAAAAUGAUUUGUUUUCUAGCCACACUGCUUCAUAACUAGAGAAUGGGGCCUCCAAGGCUCUUACCUUUUCAAAUGUGUGGUGGUUUCCCAAUGAUUCAGUGUGGUGAGCAGCUUCUGACACGGCUACCUAAGAUCUCCACCUCCUG